rnacentral:tRNA from 1 species
AGCAGUGUAGUGUAUAAAGCAUGUAGUAUUGCAAAUACUAAGGCGCAGCGUAAGUUCUGCCGGUGCUU